rnacentral:rRNA from 1 species
GACGAACGCUGGCGGCGUGCUUAACACAUGCCAGUCGAACGGAAAGGCCCUGCUUUUGUGGGGUGCUCGAGUGGCGAACGGGUGAGUAACACGUGAGUAACCUGCCCUUGACUUUGGGAUAACUUCAGGAAACUGGGGCUAAUACCGGAUAGGAGCUCCUGCUGCAUGGUGGGGGUUGGAAAGUUUCGGCGGUUGGGGAUGGACUCGCGGCUUAUCAGCUUGUUGGUGGGGUAGUGGCUUACCACGGCUUUGACGGGUAGCCGGCCUGAGAGGGUGACCGGCCACAUUGGGACUGAGAUACGGCCCAGACUCCUACGGGAGGCAGCAGUGGGGAAUAUUGCACAAUGGGCGGAAGCCUGAUGCAGCAACGCCGCGUGCGGGAUGACGGCCUUCGGGUUGUAAACCGCUUUCGCCUGUGACGAAGCGUGAGUGACGGUAAUGGGUAAAGAAGCACCGGCUAACUACGUG